rnacentral:rRNA from 1 species
AUGCAUGUAUAAGUCCACACGGCUGGAAAAGUGAAACUGCGAAUGGCUCAUUAAAUCAGUUAUGGUUCCUUUGAUCGCUCACCCGCUACUUGGAUAACUGUGGCAAUUCUAGAGCUAAUACAUGCAAACGAGCGCUGACCUUCGGGGAUGCGUGCAUUUAUCAGACCUAAAACCCGCGCGGGGUGCUGCCGCGUGGUGGCCCCCGGCCUGUUUGGUGACUCUAGAUAACCUUGGGCCGAUCGCUCGCCCUCGCGGCGGCGACGACUCAUUCGAAUGUCUGCCCUAUCAACUUUCGAUGGUACUCUAUGUGCCUACCAUGGUGACCACGGGUAACGGGGAAUCAGGGUUCGAUUCCGGAGAGGGAGCCUGAGAAAUGGCUACCACAUCCAAGGAAGGCAGCAGGCGCGCAAAUUACCCAUUCACGACACGUGGAGGUAGUGACGAAAAAU